AUGCGAUACGUGGGGGACUUCUCGCAGAUCGCUACCAGGCGGCGAGAUCCACCCGCUUACGCGUUAUGUCAUGAAUUAUGUGCGACUGCUUGCUGGUUGAAUCAUCUUCUUGAUGGUUGCGAGACUGAGCUGGAAAAUGGGGGUGAUAAUGCGGAUAUGACUCCAUUGGGUCACUGUCUGCUCAUACUGAUCACACAUCUAUUGGACAAGAUUGAGGAUAAAGCGAAGCUGUGUGAUGAUGAGGCACUGCAGAAUAUAUUUUUGAUGAACAAUCUGUGGUAUGUUGUGCAGAAGAUCAAGGAUUCAGAGCUUAAGAGUUUGCUUGGGGAUAACUGGAUCCGUAAGCGCCGUGGUCAGAUAAGGAGGUACUCUACAGGGUACCUCUGA
rnacentral:rRNA from 1 species